rnacentral:sRNA from 1 species
UCCGUAGGUGAACCUGCGGUUGGAUCAUUAAAAAGAUCUUAGCCUGCACCCUUCUUGUGGACUGCUUGCGGGCCGCAACCAGGGACGAGGCUGAAUUCCCCGAAAUGGGAAUAACAUCAUGUGAACUGUUCUGUCUCUGGCGGUGGGAUGGCUAAAAACCAUCCGUCAGCAUCCGAGAUUUCUCUCGGUGUGCCGUGGACAAGCCGCCAACGGUGUAUGUUUCAUACAAACUUUUUGUUUCAUUAAAAUUGUCUGACCUACCUUUGUAUCUAAAAUAUACAAAAACAACUUUUGGCAACGGAUCUCUUGGCUCCCGCAACGAUGAAGAACGCAGCGAAAUGCGAUAUGUAGUGUGAAUUGCAGAAUUCAGUGAGUCAUCGAAUCUUUGAACGCACAUUGCGCUCUCUGGUAUUCCGGGGAGCAUGCUCGUUUCAGAAUCAUUAAAAUUCUCAAAGUUACAGUCUUGUUCCUACAAGGCUGCAUCUUUUGGAUGUGAGCCCUUUUGUCGUAUGGCAAUGGCUUGAAAAUGAUUGUGUUUGCACCAGCUCUAUGGCUCGGUUCUUAACAAGUGCAACAGAUGUUAACUCAUUCGUUAUCUCUUGAAGAGGAUCGUUUUCAGGUACUGGUUGAUACACUCAAAACCAAAAACUUUCGCUGAUCCUUGGAUCUUCGACUGAUAACUUGGUCUGAAAUCGAGCAAGAAAACCCGCUGAACUUAAGCAUAUCAAUAAGCGGAGGAAAAGAAACUAACAAGGAUUCCCCUAGUAACGGCGAGUGAAGCGGGAACAGCUCAAAUUUGAAAUCUCACAAGGUCACUUGUGCGAAUUGUAGUUUAGAGAAACGUUUUCGGGGGCGACGUGGGUAUAAGUCCUUUGGAAAGAGGCAUCAUAGAGGGUGAGAAUCCCGUUUAUGAUCCACUGUUCGCUCCUAUGUGAUACGUUUUCCAAGAGUCAUGUAGUUUGGGAUUGCUGCAUAAAAUGGGUGGUAAAUACCAUCUAAAGCUAAAUAUUGGCGGGAGACCGAUAGCGAACAAGUACCGUGAGGGAAAGAUGAAAAGAACUUUGAAAAGAGAGUUAAACAGUACGUGAAAUUGCCAAAAGGGAAACGCUUGAAGU